rnacentral:rRNA from 1 species
UACAGAGGGUGCAAGCGUUAAUCGGAUUUACUGGGCGUAAAGCGUGAGUAGGUGGCUCGCCAAGUCGAUUGUGAAAGCCCUGGGCUCAACCUGGGAAUUGCAGUCGAUACUGGUGAACUAGAGUUCGGUAGAGGGUGACGGAAUUCCCGGUGUAGCGGUGAAAUGCGUAGAUAUCGGGAAGAACACCAGUGGCGAAAGCGCUCUACUGGGCCAUAACUGACACUGAGGGACGAAAGCUAGGGGAGCGAAAGGG